rnacentral:rRNA from 1 species
CGUAUUCACCCCAAGUUCCUGAAAACUUUCUUAAAAAAAACUCAUCAAAGACCAUCGGUGAAACGGUGGCGCUAAUAAAAAGUGAAAACUUUCAACAACGGAUCUCUUGGCUCUCGCAUCGAUGAAGAACGCAGCGAAAUGCGAUAAGUAGUGUGAAUUGCAGACUAGUGAAUCAUCGAAUCUUUGAACGCAGAUUGCGCUCUCGGGAAACCGGGAGCAUGCUUGUCUGAGGGCCGGUAAAACAAAACCCGCUUGCGGGUGUGAAUGGGUGGCUCCGUUGUGCGCAUUUUUAUCUGUAGCGUAACGGUCACCUGAAAUGACUGCACCAUGCCGUCGCGGAAUUGCAUAGUAGUGAAGGCGUCGCAAGGCGCUCUCUUGCAAGCAAAGGAAGCGUUGGCAACGACGGUGGCGCACUGUUUGGUGUAUGUAUACCAAAUGUCUCUCCGGAGGCACAUCGUAGACACGACCUCAGAUCAAGCAAGAACACCCGCUGAACUUAAGCAUAUCAAUAAGCGGAGGAAAAGAAACUAACAAGGAUUCCCCUAGUAACGGCGAGUGAAGCGGGAACAGCUCAAAUUUUAAAUCGGGCGCUCGAUGGGCGUCUGAGUUGUAGUUUGAAGAGACGUUUUCGCGCCGUGGAAGACGGUCCAAGUCCUCUGGAAAGAGGCGUCGCAGA